rnacentral:pre_miRNA from 1 species
ACAACAUUCAGACCGUCGACCUACCAAGCAAUUUCACCAGCUCGGUGGAAGAUCUUCCCUUUCUCGU